AAUUUCAAUGAUACUUUCAGGAGAAAGAUGUUGUUUUAUUCCUUUUCGACGAUUUUGAAGUUCUUUUAAUUCACAUAAAAUCACAAAAUCUUAAUUUAACUGAUGAAGAUAGUACUGAAAAUUUGCCAAUUUCUUUCGAUUGAAUGAAACUUUAUGUAUUGUUUUUGCAUGAAUACCCACACAAACGCGUUUUAAAACAUAGUGUGACCGAGUGAGAGCUACUUAAAUAUCUUACCUCCGU